GGUCGGGCCUCUUGCAAGGGGAGCCAACGAACCCCGCCAGGUCUGGAAAGAAGCAACGGUAGUUAGGAUAUCCCCGUGUGCGCGAGUAACCUGGCCGUU
rnacentral:SRP_RNA from 1 species